rnacentral:rRNA from 1 species
CUUGAACGCUGGCGGCAGGCCUAACACAUGCAAGUCGAGCGAGCGGCGGACGGGUGAGUAAUGUAUGGGGACUGCCCGAUAGAGGGGGAUAACUACUGGAAACGGUAGCUAAUACCGCAUACUAUCGGAUAACCCAUAUGGGAUUAGCUAGUAGGUGAGGUAAUGGCUCACCUAGGCGACGAUCCCUAGCUGGUAUGAGAGGAUGAUCAGCAACUCUGGGACUGAGACACGGCCUAGGCUCCUACGGCGGCAGCAGUGGGGAAUAUUGCACAAUGUGCGCAAGCCUGAUGCAGCCAGGCCGCUUGUAUGAAGAAGGCCCUAGGGCUGUAACGUACUUUCAGUCGGGAGGCGUUACCGACAGAAGAAGCACCGGCUAACUACGUGCCAGCAGCCGCGGUAAUAC